rnacentral:rRNA from 1 species
GCGGGGUCUAUUUUGUUGGUUCUAGAGCCACGCUAAUGAUUAAUAGGGAUAGUCGGGGGCAUCAGUAUUCAAUUGUCAGAGGUGAAAUUCUUGGAUUUAUUGAAGACUAACUACUGCGAAAGCAUUUGCCAAGGCAUGUUUUCAUUAAUCAGUGAACGAAAGUUAGGGGAUCGAAGACGAUCAGAUACCGUCGUAGUCUUAACCAUAAACUAUGCCGACUAGGGAUCGGGCGGUGUUCAACUUAUGACCCGCUAGGCACCUUACGAGAAAUCAAAGUUUUUGGGUUCUGGGGGGAGUAUGGUCGCAAGGCUGAAACUUAAAGGAAUUGACGGAAGGGCACCACCAGAUGUGGAGCCUGCGGCUUAAUUUGACUCAACACGGGGAAACUCACCANGUCCAGACACAUUAAGGAUUGACANAUUGAGAGCUCUUUCUUGAUUAUGUGGGUGGUGGUGCAUGGCCGUUCUUAGUUGGUGGAGUGAUUUGUCUGCUUAAUUGCGAUAACGAACGANACCUUAACCUGCUAAAUAGCCUGGCUAGCUUUUGCUGGUCANCGGCUUCUUAGAGGGACUAUCGGCUCAAGCCGAUGGAAGUCUGANGCAAUAACAGGUCUGUGAUGCCCUUAGAUGUUCUGGGCCGCACGCGCGCUACACUGACAGAGCCAACGAGUAUAACCCUUAGCCGAGAGGUUUAGGUNAUCUUGUUAAACUCUGUCG